GACGAACGCUGGCGGCGUGCUUAACACAUGCAAGUCGAGCGGAAAGGCCCUUCGGGGUACUCGAGCGGCGAACGGGUGAGUAACACGUGAGCAACCUGCCCUAGGCUUUGGGAUAACCCCGGGAAACCGGGGCUAAUACCGAAUAUGACCUUCGGUCGCAUGACUGUUGGUGGAAAGUUUUUCGGCCUGGGAUGGGCUCGCGGCCUACCAGCUUGUUGGGGGGGUGAUGGCCUACCAAGGCGACGACGGGGAGCCGGCCUGAGAGGGCGACCGGCCACACGGGGACUGGGACACGGCCCAGACUCCUACGGUAGGCAGCAGUGGGGAAUAUUGCACCAUGGGCGGAAGCCUGAUGCAGCGACGCCGCGUGAGGGAUGACGGCCUUCGGGUUGUAAACCUCUUUCAGCAGGGACGAAGCGCAAGUGACGGUACCUGCAGAAGAAGCGCCGGCCAACUACUUGCCAGCCGCCGCGGUAACAC
rnacentral:rRNA from 1 species